rnacentral:tRNA from 1 species
UAUAAUUUGGUGUAUGAUGCACACAGAAUUUUGAUUUCUUUGGAUCUAGUUUAAAUCUAGAAUUUAUAA